rnacentral:rRNA from 1 species
UUAGAGGAAGUAAAAGUCGUAACAAGGUUUCCGUAGGUGAACCUGCGGAAGGAUCAUUACAGAGUUAGGGUCUUUUCAGGCCCGAUCUCCAACCCUAUGUAUACCUACCUUUGUUGCUUUGGCGGGCCCGCUGGGGUGACCCACCGGCGGCCUUUGGCUUCCGAGUGCCCGUCAGAGACCCACCAAAACCUUGUUAACUGUGCUGUCUGAGUACCAAUGUAAUAAUUAAAACUUUCAACAACGGAUCUCUUGGUUCUGGCAUCGAUGAAGAACGCAGCGAAAUGCGAUAAGUAAUGUGAAUUGCAGAAUUCAGUGAAUCAUCGAAUCUUUGAACGCACAUUGCGCCUCUCGGUAUUCCGGGGGGCAUGCCUGUUCGAGCGUCAUUACACCACUCAAGCUCGGCUUGGUGUUGGGCCCUCGUCCCCUGUGGACGUGCCCGGAAAUCAGUGGCGGCACAGCCCGGCUUCAAGCGGUAUCAGUUUAUCUUUGCUUUGGAAGCUUCAGGCUUGGGUCUGCCAGACAACCCCAUCAUUUCAUCAAGGUUGACCUCGGAUCAGGUAGGGAUACCCGCUGAACUUAAGCAUAUC